CAUCCUCCAUAAGGGCCACACAAGUGUGUGCAUGGACCGAGGAAAAGACACCAUGGGAGCCGGUAAAGUAUUUCCUUGGUGGUUGGGAGCAAGGGUAUCGUGCAGCAGUUUUUGGUGUUACUGACGACCAGCUCUGACGAGAGUCUUCGGUUUCUUAGCUUCAGGCUGGACUUCAACGAGCAUUACAAAGCCAGGGAGCCCAGGCUCCGCGUGUCUCUGGGUACCAGGGGGCGGCGCAGCUCCCACACGUGAAGCUCGCGGUCCUCCCAGGGAGCUGCGGGUGAUGUUCGUUGCACUGCUAGACACGAAAUUCCCAUUGACGUCCUGCAGGAACUGCAUGCUGCAGGUGUCCUGCCCUUCCGCCCACGAGUGCGCCAUGUUUCAGCGGAGCGGCGUGUGGGAGAAGCCACGUCGUGUUGCACACGUCGGAGUUGAAUGCAUUUGUAAAUCACUAAGUCAAGUAGGCUGGCUGCACUGUUCACAUUUGUCUCUAAAAGUCUUCAUCCCCAAAAGAUACCAUAAUUUGCUGAGGCUUCUGAAUCUUAAGUGCUCUAAGUUAUAACUUAUAUUUGUCACUUUAAAAGAACUGUUUGUUUAGCAAAAUCUACAGCAAGGGUAUAUUUAUAAAGUGAUAAUGUCAUUGCUGUUAUUUAGCAUCCUCUUCAGAAACUUUUUUUUGCAAUAUUAUUAGAUUAAACUGAAAUACAUAGAAAAUA